rnacentral:rRNA from 1 species
AUACGUAGGGUGCGAGCGUUACCCGGAUUUACUGGGCGUAAAGGGUAUGUAGGCGGUUUUGUUAGUCUCUUGUGAAAGCCUUGGGCCCAACCCAAGAAUUGCAGGAGAAACGGCAAAACUAGAGGAUGUGAGAGGCGUACGGAACUCAUGGUGGAGGGGGGAAAUCCGUUGAUAUCAUGGGGAACACCAAAAGCGAAGGCAGUAUGCUGGCACAUUCCUGACGCUGAGAUACGAAAGCGUGGGUAGCGAACGGAAUUAGAAACCCCAGUAGUCC